rnacentral:lncRNA from 1 species
GAGGAGGAGGAGGAGGAGGAGGAGGAAGAGACUUGCUUUGGCAGGGAGGGCGAAGGGGGGGUAAGGUGAAAAGGGUCAGUGAGUAACCCAGCUCCAGUAUGAUAAAGGUAAUUGUUGCUCCCAAGUGAGCACCGGGUGCUUCCUGGCUCUGGCUGCUCUGGCUGCUCGUGUCUGUGUUAUGCAGGCGUCUGCUGUGCCGAGCAGGGCUUUGCGAGAGGAGAGGAGAGGUUUGAUUGACCCUGUUGGCAGCGGUACGUGGCGAUAUUUGACGUUGUUUCUGCGCUAGCAUCACCAGGGCAGGGAGGAAGAUGCAGAGUCAGGGGCACGGCACUUGUGUGCUACCUAGGAUUUAUUUAGCUGGAGUAAGGACCGUGGCAAUUAAGAAUAAUUAAUUACAGUCUGCGAGCUGGGGCAGGGGGAGAGCGGCGUGGACCUAACCUGUCAUUAAGCUGUGGGCUCUGUGGAUGCUUUGCUGUGACGGAGGGCCGAGGGCUGACCAAGUCGUGGGGAGGAUUUGUAUGUGGGAAGAGAGGAGAUGGCUGUGCAGCGUGCUCCCGAAUCUGCUCUGAGCUUGCUGAUGGUAAGUGCUUGCUGAAAUCCAUUUGGGAAAGGGGGGUGGGCGAGGGGAGCUGCUCCGCAUGGAUUCAGGGCUCCAAAUCCACAGGAGGAUUUUGUGUGAGCCGGUGCUUGGCUUUUAGAGGUCCCAGGGAACUUUGCAAAAGGCUCAUCUGGGGCUCGCAUGGAGGCAAUUCCUCCCACGAUGGGUUUUAGCACAUCUGGACCGGUGAUCAGGGCAGGAUUGUGAAGUCACCUUUCCGGCAGGGCUGGCACUUGCGUUCGGGGUUUAUCCUGAGCAGCAGAUUUAAUUUUGUUC